UACAGAGGCCACGAGCGUUAGGCGGAAUCACUGGGCUUAAAGCGUGUGUAGGGGGAUGGGUAAGUACCUUGUGAAAUCCCACGGCUCAACCGUGGAACUGCUUGGUAUACUGCCUGUCUUGAGGCACUCAGGGGCGAGCGGAACAAAUGGUGGAGCGGUGAAAUGCGUAGAUAUCAUUUGGAACGCCAAUGGUGAAGACAGCUCGCUGGGGGUGUACUGACACUGAGACACGAAAGCCAGGGGAGCAAACGGG
rnacentral:rRNA from 1 species